UACGAAGGGGGCUAGCGUUGCUCGGAAUUACUGGGCGUAAAGCGCACGUAGGCGGAUUCUUAAGUCGGUGGUGAAAUCCUGGAGCUCAACUCCAGAACUGCCUUCGAUACUGGGAAUCUUGAGUUCGGGAGAGGUGAGUGGAACUGCGAGUGUAGAGGUGAAAUUCGUAGAUAUUCGCAAGAACACCAGUGGCGAAGGCGGCUCACUGGCCCGAUACUGACGCUGAGGCACGAAAGCGUGGGGAGCAAACAGG
rnacentral:rRNA from 1 species